UACAGAGGUCUCAAGCGUUGUUCGGAUUCAUUGGGCGUAAAGGGUGCGUAGGCGGCGCGGUAAGUCGGGUGUGAAAUCUUGGAGCUUAACUCCGAAACUGCAUUCGAUACUGCCGUGCUUGAGGACUGGAGAGGAGACUGGAAUUUACGGUGUAGCGGUGAAAUGCGUAGAUAUCGUAAGGAAGACCAGUGGCGAAGGCGGGUCUCUGGACAGUUCCUAACGCUGAGGCACGAAGGCCAGGGGAGCAAACGGG
rnacentral:rRNA from 1 species